GACGAACGCUGGCGGCGUGCUUAACACAUGCAAGUCGAGCGGUAAGGCCCCUUCGGGGUACGACGAGCGGCGAACGGGUGAGUAACACGUGGGUGACCCGCCCUCAGCUCUGGGAUAAGCCUGGGAAACGUGGGUCUAAUACCGGAUAUGACUCCAUGACGCAUGUCGUGGGGUGGAAAGCCUUGUGCGGCUGGGGAUGGCCCGCGGCCUAUCAGCUUGUUGGUGGGGUGAUGGCCACCAAGGCGACGACGGUAGCCGGCCUGAGAGGGCGACCGGCCACACUGGGACGUGAGACACGGCCCACGACUCCUACGGGAGGCAGCAGUGGGGAAGUCUUGCGCAAUGGGCGAAAGCCUGACGCAGCGACGCCGCGUGAGGGAUGACGGCCU
rnacentral:rRNA from 1 species